UACAUAACAAGUACGAAGAAAUGUACUGAAGUCAGUCGAGUCAUACGAAUGAAGUAUGGUCUUCCGUUAGACGAAUAAUACGUUUUUAGGGAAGUAGAGCAGUAUGGAAGUUGGUAUACCUGAUUUCGAUAAAUCCGUUUGAAAGCGAAUUGUGGUGCGGGGGAAGUCUUAUCACAGAAUUCAUACCAUAUAACGGUGUUUCUAAUUUCAUUUUAAUCGAGUAUUAUUCUUUAAUUUUUUUGCGAUCAUUGACGAAGCUUCGUAGUAUCCUCCAAAAAUGUUUCGAUCGAAGAAAGAGGUCGACCGACACGUGAAAGACAUUUUUACCAAACUUAAAAGUUCCGAUGAGAAAAAACUUCGGUAUUAUAACAUUGCAAAACUAUAUUAUCAAGUUGGAGAUUAUGAAAGUGCAAAGAAAUAUGUUUCUACCUAUUUGGAAACAAGAGAUAAAUCUGCGGGAGCUCAUAAAUUAUUAGGUCAAACUCUUGAAGCUUUAGGACAAAAGGAAGCAGCAUUUACACAAUAUAAAAUAUCUCUUGAAUUAGAACCAAAGCAAGAUGAACUUAUUUUAAAAGUUUGUGAGCUGUUAGCUGAGGCAGCCAUCAAUGUAGAUAUUGAUGUAUAUCAAUACUGGGUAGAUAGAGCUGAUAGAAAGUUUCAACAUCAUCCAAUAGUGUUUCAAUUAAAGGAAAAAAUGUUAACUGUAGCAAAACCAAACGGUAAUGACGAAGACCUAGAAAAACUUAUUACCUCUGAAUUAUCAGUACGGCAAACAGAUGUACAUCUCCAAGUUAAAUUAUUGAAGCAUUAUGCAGAAAAUAAUAGACUUGAAGAUGCAUAUAACCAUGCCGUUGGGAUUGAGGCAACGCACAGUCACAGAAAUAGUAUUAUAUGGUAUCGAUCUUUAAGCGAAUUACUUGUAAAAUGUGAAGAUAGUAAGAGUUCGGAUUGGACAUUUUGGGUGUUCUACAUUUCUGUGUUGGAGAGAUACGCGGCGCUUUGUCUUAAAGAACAGGGUAAUAUUGUUAAGGAAAGCAUAUCGGAUGCUACGCAAGCAGUAUUUAAUUUCGAUCAAAGUUUAAGUAAUUUUGAAGCAGAACAUUUCCCUAAUCAUCCUGCUUUCACUGAACAUAUGAUGUUGCACAUGUGGGGUCAAUUACAUUUUCAUUUGGCCUGUUUGGUGUUACGAAAAACUAAAGAAGAGAAAGACAGUUGGUCAGAAGCAGGAAGAUUAUGUGCACCUCUUUUAUUAACCGCAUUACACGUUACACCUAUCGAUCCUACUGUUGUGUGGACUAUGCAUUUGCUAGAUCGUCUUAAAAAUCAAGUACAAGUAUGGUACAGAGAAGGAUCAUAUAGAUGUAGUCAAGCCGGUCAUGUACUUCAAGAUUAUGCUCGAGAUAAUCCUAAAAAAUUACUGGAUAGAAUCGAUAGAUAUUGUACAAGUUCAUGGCGCCAGCGAGUCUAUCAAAGAAUUUUUGUUGGCCGAUUGUAUCAAGAUGGUAAAACAACGCAUUCGUAUUUUGCAAAUUCUUCGAUGUCAAAUCCACCGUUACGUCUGUGUUCGUAUAACGAACUAAAACGAUUUGACGAAAUUUCGGAAGAUGUAUGGCCAGAUUCGUUGCAUCAUCAAAUAUGGCUUGGUUUAAAAACUAGACCUCAUAAUUCACAAAAUAAAAAUAACGGGCCUCAUCCGAAUCAAACAUCGCGUGUAUUUUGUGAAUUACAGUUCUCUGUCUAUAAUUUAUCUCAAGCUGCUCCAGAUAGUUUGAGUCGUCUUGAUGUUGAUGCAUUCUUAAACGCAGCAAUUCUAUGCGCUUCUACAGUGUCAAAUCCUGAGGAAUUCCCUACAUUACCAGCUGACCUUACCGAUACUCUUUGUACUUGCGCUCAAGAGAAAUGGUGGUCUUAUGCUUAUAAAGUGUAUACUAUGGACAAGCAAACAUCACUCGAUGAUGAUCUUGGAGAAAUAAGAUUAGAAUUACAACGAGGAUUAGAAGUAAUUCGUUGUCUUGGAAAUCAUGGAUUACAUCCUGUUAUUUUAGUUCAUUUAGCACGAAUAUUUCAUUAUAGAGCAGAAGCAUUGAAAAAGGUAAAUCCAGAACAUAGUCACAUACCAGAUUUAGAAGCGCGAUCUGAAAUGUAUUGGUCAACAGCUAUUCCGCUUCUUGAAAGAUUAUUAAACAAUCAAGUACUUCGUUUAACGAAUUCAAAAUACUUUAAUUGCCAAGGAAAAGAGAUGAAUAAUGCGGAAGUUAUUAAAGCUUUGGAAGAAGGUAAACUGCUUCUAGCUCAACGUCUUGUGCGAGAAAAAUUGUACGAGAAAGCUAUUGAAGCCCUGCAAGCAUUAAAAUGCCCGGAGGCUUCGUUUUUACAAGGACAAAUGUACGAGAAGCUCGCAGAUGAAAUUGUUAGUUCUAUACCUAGAGAAAGUUUAACAUCCGAAAUGAGAUCGCAACAUAUAAUUAUACUUUCGAAAGCUAGAGAAUGUUUUUACCUGACAUUAGACCGAUUACGUAGUCCAGGAACAAAUCCGAAACAUCCCUUGAAUUCAGAACUUUUUGCACACAUCACUGAAAUUGAAAACAAAUUGAAACGAAUUGACCCAGAUUUAUCACGGGGCGAUUUAAGCAGAAACGAAUGCGACGGAAUGUCGGAUGAAAGUUACUCCUCUGCUCACAGCAUUGUAGAUCAACAAGUGACAAACAUAGCGUUACCAGGAUUGAGCACAUCGAUUAAUAUUCUCAGUACCCCUCAGAAAAAUGUCCAUCGUGCACCAAAGCAGUCUAGUACUCCUUAUAGACCACAGCAUCAGGAUAUAUUGGAUUUAUCACGAAAUCGUAGCGAGGCACGUCCAAGUCCUGAACGCCUCGAUGCUCAAAUCCGUUCAAUAAACCAAAUGAUUCAGUCGAAAGAUAACAUGAUACAGUCGAUAACGGAACAAAACAAGACUAUAUUGGAAUUAAAUAAAACAGUAGUGGACAAACUGGAAGAAUUAACGAAAGAAGUGGCAGAACUGCGAAAAGAAAUUCAGAAACAACGUAUUCAACCAACCGAUGUUAAUCCUAAUCUGGAAGAAGAUUUGUGCGUCCUGAAUGAAGAUGAUUAUAAUGAUUUGAAUUAUAAUGCAAAUCAAUCAGGUCCCACGUCUUCGAUAUCAGGAAACAUAUUCCCACCCUCACACAGACAUCCAUACUCUCAGUUAGUAUAUCCUUCCGCUACUGCGUUCCAAGGAUAUUAUCCAACAGGAAUGCCAUUUAGUGAUCCGAACACACAAGCCAUUCCUCCUCUGUAUCCACCAAGUGUUUACUCGAUGCCGGUACUGUAUCCAAGAACGAGAUCAAAAAUACCUGAAAACGUAUUUCAACAGGGCAUAUUCACAGCAAGAGUACCGACACAAAUAUCAGAUCUAAUGCAACCAACAAAUCAGCCAUUGCAAAUGCCACUUCCAAAAGUAGAAACAACAAAAACUGAGACAAUUAUAAAAGAUGCACCUGUAAACAAAGUUCCACCAGUUAACGUUGUUAUUACUACUUCUGAUAUUCUCCCUACUACUACGCAAGUUGUUCAACCAACUCUUAGCGUAACAAUUCCUCCGCAUUUUAGACAAGGAAAUAUUUCUGCACCAAUUGUGACGGAACAGUCUGCACCUCAUUGCUAUCAAAUUUCUAUGCCCUCCCAAGCUACUAUACCAACGACGGUGAAUCUUCCACCUUUGUCAAAUACGCUCACAACUACUCCAGCAAGUAUUUCAGUUUCAGAACAGCCAAAACAAGAUAAUAGCACUAUUUGUUCGACUGGAUCUCCAAAUAGUUCAGAUCACGAACAUGAUCCAAUACCUGAUUUUGUUCCUGUUAUACCAUUACCGGCAGAAGUUAAGGUCACUACUGGAGAAGAAGAUGAAGAGACUCUGUUUAUUGCAAGAGCUAAACUUUAUCGUUUCGUGGAUAAUGAGUGGAAAGAACGUGGCACAGGUAAUGUUAAGCUGCUCAAAAACAAAGAAGGGAAAGUGCGUUUACUCAUGCGAAGGGAGCAAGUAUUAAAAGUUUGCGCGAAUCAUUUUCUUGCACCUAACAUGGAGUUGACUACCAAGUCAAAUAAUGAAAAGACAUGGUGUUGGGUUGCACAUGAUUUUGCCGACGGGGAAUUGAAAUUAGAGAAGUUUUGUAUUAGGUUUAAAACGGUGGAAGAAGGCAUUUCCUUUAAAGAACAUUUUGAUAAAGCUAAAGCCAGUCUCACUCAGUCUUCUAAGAAAGCAAAUGAAAUUACUGAUAAUGCAUCAACUAAAGUUAAUACUGUGUCAAAUAACAUUAAGAAGUCAGAAAAACCUAAAGUAGAAACAAAACCUUCAGAGCAAGUAGUGUUCACAUCGGGACAAAGUAUUCAGAAACAACCUGUUGAAGCAAUUACAACUUCUAGGCCUUGUUUCUCCUUCGGGGAUGUAAAAACCAGUAAAGAUACAACAGUUGUUGGAGGUUUAUCGUUUACAUCAACUCCAAUUAUUCAAAAAGUAGCUACAACGGAACCUGCUAAGACAACCAGUGCAUCAGAUGUUAAACCAUUCAGUAAAUUUACAUUUAACAAGACAGUGACAACUGCUUCGAGUUUUAUGACUACAACACAGAAAAGUACAGUCGGUGAAGCUACUACUACGACUCAGUCAUUUUCCUUUUGCUUUACAACUUCGCCAGCGGGAACUACAACAGUACCAACUAAUGUUAACACUCACAGUACACCAAUCUCAUCAUCGCAACCAUUCGGUAUUUCCAUCUCUACUGAAAAUCCUUCUUCGAAUAUGCCUCAAUUUUCACUUAGAAGACCACACGCUCCUCCAUCAAGUGCCAUUACUUCAGCAACUUCUACUGUAGGUAUUCAAGACGACGAUGCUGCGCAAGGUGAACAGGACGUGCUGUUCAGUGAGAAGAUUAGUCUUCGGUACUACCACAGUGAUACUAAACAGUGGGAAGAUAAAGGUACAGGACAAUUAAGGAUUUUAUGGAGCCCAAAAACGAACAAAGUUCGUUUAUCAGUGAAAGAAGAAACUAGUUCAAAAGUCCUCUACAAUUAUAAUGUCCUGUCUAAAAUGCCAUUCACGUUUGAGGAUGGUGGUAACACCGCCGUCAUUUGGAACUUUUAUUACGGACCAGACAAUAAGACGGCGAUGUUUAUGGCAACCUUUAAAACAGCAGAUCAGGCGUCUUCAUUUUAUCGCGCUAUCACUAACUAUCAGCAAAAAAUGGUGAACGACUGUAUUUCUGCCGAAAAUGUAAAGAAACAGGAAACAACUAAGCAAGCGCAAGCAAGUAAAACUCAGCAACCAUCUUUAAGUGAAAUGUUCAAACCAGCAGCAGGUUCAUGGGAAUGCGAAGCUUGUUACACGAGAAAUAGCGCAACGGACAUGAAAUGUUUAGCUUGCGAAGCGCCUCGCCCUUCUGCAUCCGAUAAAGCAGGUAUUUCUACUACAAGUUCAUUCCCUCAGGUAUCUAAGCCAGUUGAUUCUUCAUGGAAAUGUAAAUGCUCCAACGUAAAUGCAGCAGAUAAAAAUUAUUGUGUUAUUUGUGACGCGCCGAAAGAUCCAUCUCUUCCACCUAAACCGAAAACUGCAGGAUUCAUAUUAAGUACUAAUACUUCUGCACCUGUGACACCAUUUACCUUCGGUAUUCCACAGGAUGCAAAUAAGAAAACUACCGGCAAAUUUUCAUUUCAGUUAUCUACACCCAAUAACGUUUCUAAAGAUUCUAAAUCUACAGAAGCUGAUGCACAGUCAGAUAUUUCUGGGUCGAGAUUUAUCUUUGGAAUGCCACAAAAAUCAAAUACACAGUCGAACAAGAGUUCUACGUUUACAUUUGGUUCACCAGGAAAGUCGUUCGAGUUCAACUUUGCGCCAAAAUCCCCAACAAAAUCAGCUGAAGGUGACGAAAACAGCGAGGAAGAGGUAGUGGAAAGUGACGACAUUCAUUUCACGCCGGUAAUUCCGUUACCGGAAAAGAUUGAAGUCAAAACAGGCGAAGAAAACGAAGAAGUUCUUUACAGUCACAGAGCAAAAUUGUUCAGAUACGAUAAAUCAGUUAACGAAUGGAAAGAACGUGGUUUGGGAGAUAUAAAAUUACUGCGACACAAAGAAACGGGUAAACUGAGACUAGUAAUGAGACGCGAACAAAUUUUGAAGCUUUGCUUGAACCAUUUUGUACUGUCCGAUUUGGAAAUGAAACCGAAAGACGAAAAGACAUGGAUGUGGAAUGCCGCUGAUUACAGCGAAGGAGAAAUCGAACACAUGCUUUUCGCGUGUCGUUUUAAAACGCCUGACAUCGCGAAGAAUUUCAAGAACGUAGUCGAUAAUUCGAGAAAGGAGAACAAAGUUCCAACUACCAAAAAGGAUACAGAAACCGAAGUAGGAACAUCUGCCAAAGGUUCUCCGGUUCAAGAAAUAGAAGUUCUUUACGAAGUAAAAGUGACGCCUGAAGAGAAAAAAGAAGCGUUGAGAUUACAGCUGCCAGAAAACUUCUAUGCAUACAAACAGAAACCGGAUUGCCCUGGAUGUAGGGGCUGCGAAGAAGCUGCUGAAGAAACAUCAUUAGCACCAAAAGCGUCUAUAGAAAAUCAAAAGCCUCAAAUAUCUAUGUCUGCCAUACAGUUCCCUUCAAAACCUACUAGCACCAUUAGCGAAGUCACAGCUGGAACGAAUGUCUCUUCCGUUUUCAAGCCUGGAACCGGCUUUCGAUUGUUCGGAACGGAUUCUCUUCCUACUACAUCUUCGUCGACUUUAACUUUUGGAAAUACUGACUCUGGUGCAUCGAGUGACAAGAAUACUAACUUUUCAGUUGUAAUGCCUCAACCGCAAUUUAGUAUACCCGACGUACAGAAAUCUGUAACUGAUAUCCAAAGCAUUUUAUCUACUGACGACUUGAAGAUAUGUAGUCCUAUGACUUCUCAAGCACAGACAACAUCUGCGUCGUCUCUGUUCCAAACAUCUGUAACACCAACACCUUUACCUUUCAUAUUUAAUGCAAAUUCAAAUAAGGAUAGUCCAUUUAAUUUGAAUACAGGGAAAAAUAUGUUUGGGGGAACGUCAAAGAAAGAUGCAUCUGGACUACUUAAACCUAGUUCUCUCAAUGUUAGCGUAACCACUUCUGAAUCAGUAUUUUCAAAGACCUUCAAUUCUCAAUCAAAAACAAGUACUACAACUGCAUCUGUGUUUGGUGGUGCUGCUACUCCGACUUUUGGUUCAUCUGCAGUGAAAAUCAGUUCUGAAAGUACAGAACCUGUUUCAUCUUCGUUUACAUCACCUGUUGGAACAGCAAAUACUACUGUCAUGUCCAUCAAUCCUGCUAAUCCUGUAGUCACUAACGCUGCUACGCCAUUUUCAUUUAAUUUAUUUUUCGGUGCACAAACAAGUGCAUCAUCUUUUACAACUUCAACUCCUACAACAACUAAUGUUUUGGAAACAACAUCCGCGAGUGAAACUCAAAAAGAGCUUGAGGUUGCUUUCUUCCCAACUUCAGGCGAAUCAUUUUCAACUUUAGCAGCCAAAAAUCCUCAACCAGCAUUCAAAAAAGAGACAAAUUUUUCAUUCGCUGGUGCUGGGACAGCAGUAUUUGGUUCUAAGUCGAAUCCUCCAUCUGCUAAUAAAUCUAUACAAAAGACAAAGGAUCACACCACAGAAAAGAAAGAUGAAAAUGAAGAAGAAGAGUAUGAUCACAAUGAAAAUGAUCAAGAACAUGAUCCACAUUUUGAACCUAUUGUACCAUUACCUGACGUUGUUGAAGUUCGCACUGGUGAAGAAGAGGAAGAAAAAGUGUUUUGUGAACGAGCCAAACUCUAUAGAUACAAUAAUGCAACACGUGAAUGGAAAGAAAGGGGUGUCGGAGAGAUGAAAAUCUUACAUCAUGCAACAUAUGGAACUUACAGAUUGCUCUUGCGCAGAGAGCAAGUUUAUAAAGUAGUAUGCAAUUUUUUGCUUACUCCGGACAUCAGUUUUAAUAAACUUUCGAGGUCGGAUCGCGCAUGGAUGUGGGCAGGAAUGAACCAUGCCGAAGAACAACCAUGCAUAGAACAGUUGGCGGUUAAAUUUAAAAAUUCAGAACUGGCAACAAAGUUCAAGGAUACGGUUGACAAAAUUCAACAAACACUAACUGAAAUCCGCGAAAAAAGUACAGAAGACAAUCCAAUAGUAGAAGAACCAGAUGAUGAGAAUGAAGACGUUGAUGAGGUAGAACAUGAAGGUGAAGAUGAAGACGAAGAAGAUGAUGAAGGUGAAGAAGAGGAGGAGGGUGAGGACGACGAAGAGGAAGAGGAGGAGGAUGAUGAGGAUAGAGGGGACGAAGAGGACGAAGAUGAAGAAGAUGAUCAAUAUUUUAUAAUUUUUAAAAAGAGAGCUACGUUAUUAGCAAAAACAAGUAAAGCAAGCGAAUGGAGUCCUGUAGCUUUAGGAACUUUAAUUAUUUAUCACGAUGCUUAUAUCUGUGGCGAAAAAAUAACUUUGAAAGCGGAUGAAACGGCUGAAAUUGUAAGCAGCACGAUCAUAAGUAUGAACACACAGAUGCAGGUUAGUGGAAAAGAAUGUGUAUGGACGGCUAUCGAUUAUGCUUUGAAUCCAGCAGAAAGGCGAACUUUGAAAGCACUUUUCUCGUCGACUCAAGCUGCACAGCAAAUGCAGAAAUGUUUUGAGAACGGAAUCCAAGUUGCAAGGGAAUCAAAUAUCACUGAAGAAUACUACGAUGAAGUAUACUACGAUGAAGAAUAAAAGAAGGAAACGAUUUUAGAUGUUUCUUGUAAUAAAGUAUUUCUUCAGACUACAAAACAUUUGAAGGUAUUGCAGUUGCGACUACAGCGAUCUCUAACGGGACUUGGGCGUUUGAGUAAUCUUAAAAAUAUAUAUUAAAGGA
rnacentral:misc_RNA from 1 species